rnacentral:rRNA from 1 species
AGAUGGCGACCGGCGCACGGGUGAGUAACACGUAUCCAACCUGCCGAUAACUCGGGGAUAGCCUUCGAAAGAAAGAUUAAUACCCGAUGGUAUAAUCAGACCGCAUGGUUUGAUUAUUAAAGAAUUUCGGUUAUCGAUGGGGAUGCGUUCCAUUAGGCAGUUGGUGAGGUAACGGCUCACCAAACCUUCGAUGGAUAGGGGUUCUGAGAGGAAGGUCCCCCACAUUGGAACUGAGACACGGUCCAA